CCAGAUCUGGAGUCUCUGACCUUGGACCUGGAGGAGCCUCGGGGCCAUUCAGAUUGGAAAGCAGCCUUCUCUCGCCUGCGGAUCGGAUAGUCUGGGUGGCCAUCAGCUCUCAUGUGAAGAGUCUUAGGUGAGGAAACCGAUGCCUCAACAGGAGAAAGGAGACUUGCCUGCCAGUCUCUCCACCAGCACCUCAACCAGAGUCUGCAAAGGGGCCUGCUUGGGGCAUAGUGGAAGCCUUUCCCCAACGCCAACCUCCCCACCCGGCCCCCUUUCCUGUAGCUGCCAGGCCAUGGCGAGGAUCAUGCCAACGAGUGUCAACCAGGAAAAUGUCUUCUUUCUUGAAAAACAUUGUGGGUCAACAGACAGGCCCCCCAAGACCCCAGCAAUGCCGUUUGCUCGAAGCCUGACAUACAGUAACCCAGAAACAUAUGUGCCGGGCUUCCAAGGCAGGAAGCAGCAGAUCUGCCCCCGACAGGCCCAGAGGCACAGCUAGGCCAAGCCUGCUGCUCAGAGCCACACAGACAGUCACCGUGGGAACCGGUCCCAACCCAGUUCUCCUGACCGCAGUCUGCACUCCAACCUCUGCCCUUCCCAGGCCCCCACCUUCAUUUGUUUGAAAAGGUAAGUGAGGCACCCACUUGGGCAUGAAAUUUAAGGGGAAGGGGGAAGGAAAAAUUCAACACUGAAGGAAAAUAAUAUUCGAAUGCAAUAUAUGUUUUAAGUAAACAUGAAUGCAAAAAGUCUAUGAAGUACAAAUCAUCCAACUUUUAAAUCAAGGCUACAUCCAACCCUGCAUGUGCACGAUUCACCUCGCUUGCCUGUCCUGGUCCCAGCCCUGCCUGAGCGCAGGGAGCCCAGAGCCUGGGUGGGCCUCGGGGACGGGGCAGGUGACAGACAGGGAGCCCAUUCCGCUGCUUACCCGCUGGGGGACUUUAGGGUAAGUGACUGCAACUCUUUGAGCUUCCAUGUCCUCAUUUGCAAAAUGGGGUC